GACGAACGCUGGCGGCGUGCUUAACACAUGCAAGUCGAACGGAAAGGCCCUGCUUUUGUGGGGUGCUCGAGUGGCGAACGGGUGAGUAACACGUGAGUAACCUGCCCUUGACUUUGGGAUAACUUCAGGAAACUGGGGCUAAUACCGGAUAGGAGCUCCUGCUGCAUGGUGGGGGUUGGAAAGUUUCGGCGGUUGGGGAUGGACUCGCGGCUUAUCAGCUUGUUGGUGGGGUGGUGGCUUACCAAGGCUUUGACGGGUAGCCGGCCUGGGAGGGGGACCGGGCACAUUGGGCCUGCGAUACGGCGCAGACUCCUACGGGGGGCAGCAGGGGGGAAUAUUGCACAAUGGGCGGAAGCCUGAGGCAGCAACGCCGCGUUCGGGAUGACGGUCUUCGGGGUGUAAACCGCUUUCGCCUGUGACGAAGCGUGAGUGACGGUAAUGGGUAAAGAAGCACCGGCUAACUACGUG
rnacentral:rRNA from 1 species